UCCCUGGUGGUCCAGUGGCUAAGACUCCAUGCUUCCAAAGUAGGGAGCCCAGGUUCAAUCCCUGUCCAGGGAA
rnacentral:tRNA from 1 species